AUAGGUAGAGGCGCACGCUUAAUGAGUCCCAUCCGGCAAGAACACCCACUUUCGAAAAAGCCGAAUGCAAAAGGUAUGCGUGCCGAAACAGCUUUCCUGGGAAAAAGGCUGUUGGGCAUAUUUCCGAAUAGGAAUAUGACUGUCAUCGUUAUGAUGGAGUGCUAUCGG
rnacentral:ncRNA from 1 species